rnacentral:rRNA from 1 species
GCCACGGCUAACUACGUGCCAGCAGCCGCGGUAAUACGUAGGUGGCAAGCGUUGUCCGGAAUUAUUGGGCGUAAAGCGCGCGCAGGCGGCCUCUUAAGUCUGAUGUGAAAGCCCCCCGGCUCAACCGGGGAGGGCCAUUGGAAACUGGGAGGCUUGAGUAUAGGAGAGAAGAGUGGAAUUCCACGUGUAGCGGUGAAAUGCGUAGAGAUGUGGAGGAACACCAGUGGCGAAGGCGACUCUUUGGCCUAUAACUGACGCUGAGGCGCGAAAGCGUGGGGAGCAAACAGGAUUAGAUACCCUGGUAG